AGAGUUUGAUCUGGCUCAGGACGAACGCUGGCGGCAGGCUUAAUACAUGCAAGUCGAGCGCCCCGCUUGCGGGGAGCGGCAGACGGGUGAGUAACGCGUGGGAACGUGCCCUUCGGUACGGAAUAGCCCUGGGAAACUGGGUGUAAUACCGUAUACGACCUCCGGGUGAAAGAUUUAUCGCCGAAGGAUCGGCCCGCGUUAGAUUAGGUAGUUGGUGGGGUAAAGGCCUACCAAGCCUACGAUCUAUAGCUGUUCUGAGAGGAAGAUCAGCCACACUGGGACUGAGACACGGCCCAGACUCCUACGGGAGGCAGCAGUAGGGAAUAUUGGACAAUGGGGGAAACCCUGAUCCAGCCAUGCCGCGUGAGUGAAGAAGGCCUUAGGGUUGUAAAACUCUUUCACCGCUGAAGAUAAUGACGGUAAGCGGAGAAGAAGCCCCGGCUAAUUUCGUGCCAGCAGCCGCGGUAAUACGAAAGGGGCUAGCGUUGUUCGGAAUUACUGGGCGUAAAGCGCACGUAGGCGGCCUGCCAAGUUAGAGGUGAAAGCCCGGAGCUCAACUCCGGAAUUGCCUUUAAAACUGGUAAGCUAGAG
rnacentral:rRNA from 1 species